AUGCCCCCAAGGGUCAUUUUUCUGCUCGGACUUGUGUUUUGCUGGGACCAAAGGAUUUGGGCACAGACUGACCUCUACCCUUCUCUGGAAAGCUUCCUGGUCUCCAGCCCUUUCCCGUCAUCACGGAUGAGUCAAGAGGAAGAUGCUCAGGUUUUACAAAAAUGCAGCAAGGUGACUCAGCUGAGGUCGGCAUUCACCAUGUGGAGAACUGGGGACAUUGAUCUACCUGAAAUCUACCUAAAUCCUCCUGAAAAUGGAUAUCUUCCCAUUGUGAUUGGGACCUCAGCCAUCAGUGUUCUCCCUCUCUUCCUCCUCUUCCUCCUCCUCUGCCAUUGCUGGUGUCGAGCCAAACACAGGGCCACGGAUGAUGAGACCAAGAGCCAAGUGCAGUAUGACAGCUCCGGCCCAGGCUUGAACUUUGCAGAAGACAAUCAAUCUAAGAGGAGUGAGAAGGAGGGGCAACCGGGGUAGGGAAAGAUGUGUUCAGGAGAAGAUAGACGGCCUCCCGGAAGGAGCAGAGACGUGGCACACACCUCACUGGGUGGUGUCUCAGUGGAUAUCGCCUCUGAGGGGGACAGACAGAUGGACAUGGAGGCCCUCCCAGAGGAAGACCCACAGGACGUGAUCUCUGUUCAGCAACACUGAGAUUCCCUGAUGGGGAGUGUGGAUUCAGAGUUCUCCUGCACCCUUGAGGAAUCCUUGUGAUAGCCCUGUGUGUAUAUCACCCUCCCCUGGUCUUGAGUGCAGAGCCAGAACUGGCCAUGUGGACUCCAGCGCUUAAGGGCCCCUUAAGGAAGAUGCGGCGUCCCACUCGUGUCCCCCACAGCAGCAGCAUCUUGGAGCUCCCCAAAGACUCAAGAAUAGAGAAGCCUUGUCACCUGUCAAGAAAUUCUGGGAUGCAUCGCAUCCCUCAACCGAUUCCUGGUUCCUUCUGUUUUUAUCCCCUCAUUUGCUUAUUUAACAGAUAUUCGCAGAAGUUGACUCUUCCUUUGCACCUGUGCUGAGGAGGGACAGAUCAGUAGGACACAGCUCCUGGUCUUAAGGAGUGCCUGGCCUCCUGAGAGAGGCAAACCUUAUGAUCGCUUGGGCCCUUAGAAAGCAAAGAGGGGGUGAGCUACUGGAGCAGGGGAAGGAUGAUGUGGGCGACACAGGAAUACUCAUCCGGGUGCAUUUAAGGAGGACCCACAGGUACCCAACGCAAGGAGAAGUCAAGAAGACAUAGGAGUCAAACUGGGCGGGAGGGAGUUCCUGGUGGCAUUUUGCUCCAAUGCUCUAGGUUUUGUGUGAGCUGAAGCCUUCAGAGCAGCAAAAGGCGAACAAGAAAGAUUCUUUGUAAAGGAACCAAAUUGCAACUAUUUGACCGGAAGAAGGAUUUCUCUUGGGGAGGGGAAUGGUGCAGAGGGUGUUUGGGGGGGGGUAUGGUUUCCCUCUAGUUUUGGUGAAUUUCACUUUUUAGUUAUGCAAUGAAAAGAAAUAGAAUACAAUAUAACGAGAUGGGAGUGGCAGGAGAGGAAUUGGAGUUGGUAUUAAAGUAGAUGCGAAUGAUUACAUUUGAGAUGGAUGAGCAGUGAGGUCCUACAGUACAGCACAGGGGACUCUGUCCAGUCUCUUGGGAGAGACUAUGAUGGAAGAUAAUAGGAGAAAAAGAAUUUGUGUGACUGGGGCACUCUGCUGCACAGCAGAAAUUGGCACAACACUGUAAUAAAAAACCAAAAAAAAUACAAAAAAAUUCAGUUCAGUUUUGGCACCAGGACGUAGAGAAGAAAGUUAAUGGCAGGGCCAGUGAAAUACAGCACAGUGGUUUGGAGUGGAGAGUAGGAGUAAGAGAGGGAAAUCGAGCAUGCGUGUUGAUUGAUGGAAAGAAAUAUGGGGAGCGCAUAAUGUGGAUGAUAUUGGGGAGUGACCAUCAGUGGGACAGGGUAGCAUUGAGAGCCCCGACUCGGGAAUAGAUGGGUUAACCUGGGUUCAGAUUUCUCCUUCUGUACCCACUUGCUGCACGGUCACGCACACACUUCAAAAUGAUUCUCUGAGCCAGAAGGACACUUGUCAUUGAUGGAGGAGGAAAUCCAAGCUCAUGCGAGCACGGGCUAAGAUGCAAUCUUUUCGGAAUUAGAGAAAUAAAGAUUCCAACAACGACAUGCCGUUGCUUCCCUUCCAUCUGCUAUGAUGGAAUUGCGGCCACCUCCAAACUCCUAUGUCAAAUGUCGCAACCCCCAGGACCUCAGAAUGGGGCCUUCUUUGGAAAUGAGGUCAUCGCAAGUGUGCUUACCCAGGAUGAAGACAUACUGGAGCAGGACGGCUUCUCACCCAGCAUGACUUGUGUCCUUAUUUAAAAACAAGGAAACGAUGGAGUUCCUGUUGUGGUGCAGCGGAAAUGAAUCUGACCGGAACCAUGAGGUUGCAGGUUCCAUCACUGUGUCCUCGCUCCGUGGGUUAAGGAUCUGGUGUUGCCGUGAGCCGUGGUGCAGGUCGGAGACGUGGCUUGGAUCCCGCGUUGCCGUGGCUAUGGCGUAGGCUGGCGGGGGCAGCUCUGAUUCUACCCCUAGCCUAGGAACCUCCAUAUGCCGCGGGGGAGGCCCUAAAAAGAAAAAAAAAAAUGUAAAAAAAGGAAAUUGUGACACAGACAUGCACAGAGGGACAGCACGGUGUGAACCUGAAGGUGGAGAUUGGAGUGGUGUAUCCAUGAGCCAAGGAGCCCCAAAGCCUGCCAGCCAGCCACCAGGACCCGGGAGAGAGAUGUGUGCCUGGUUUCCCCCCACAGUUCUCAGAAGGAACCUCCUGCCAGCACCCCGAUCUCAGACUUCCACCUUCCAGAACCAUGACACAGGACCCUUCCAUGUCCAGGCUACUCCGUUUGCCAUACUUUGUUAUGGCAGCCCUAGCCGGCUAGUCCAUCCUCGGGCUGGCAGAGGUUAGAAGGCUGGGGAGUCCCAUGUCUUGUGGGUGUUGGGGUGGUAUGGGGACCCUCUGGCACUGUUGUGGGGGGAAGAAACUGGUGCAGUGAAUCCUGGGUGCAAUUUGGUACUACGUAAAUUAAAGAUAUACCUAAGCGAA
rnacentral:lncRNA from 9 species